AGUACUUUCAGAGGAAUUAGCUUAUCAGAGUAACUAGCUGGCACCUUAACAGGCAUGCAGAAUCUGACUCAGGAACAGAGACUCAAGAGAACUAAGGUGCAGUAGGAAGCAGGUGGCAGAGUGAAGAUAAGCAGGAACAUUUCCUACCUAUAGUUGAGCAGUUUCAUGCUACAUCAUGGUGGAUCCCUCCCAAGUCACCACUGCCUAACAUUCCACAGAAUAUAGUUGAAAGAAUUGAAGAUGCAGAGUACUGAGCCCUCCACCUGCAAAUGCAGACAGCCAUGAACAGAUGGGUGUAAACUGAGGCAGUGGAGGGAGAGGGGUACUCCCAAGCCCUGAAAAUCUCAGAGUAAGAGGCCACCGACGACAGCGCUCGCCGGCGCUGAGCUCCCUUCUACAGAAACCUGCAAAGACUCAGCGAGGAGGAAAUACACCAGGAAAAUGUCACAGGAUCAUCUCGAGCAGUCCCUUCCAGCUCCAAGCCAUUCGUUCAAGAAUGACUCAGGGCCGGGCGUGGUGGCUCACGCCUGUAAUCCCAGCACUUUGGGAGGCCGAGGCAGGCGGAUCACGAGGUCAAGAGACUGAGAUCAUCCUGGCUAACAUGAUGAAGAAACUGAGGCUCAAAGAGGUUAAAAGAACUUGCUCAAGGUCAUACAUCUAGCAUGAAUCUGGGCCAGGAUUUUAAACCCAGGCAGUCCAGCUCCAGAAUGGACACCCUUAACCACUCUGCCAUGCAUGUCAACUCAAAGUAGCGCCACCCAAGGAUUGAUGAUUCUGAAAUCUGUCAUCUCUAAAGGAAAAGCAGAAACAAACCACAGAACCAGGGGAGCUGGCUGAUAAUGAGUCACAUUGCUGCUGGCAGUUCUCCACUCAGUCCUCUGGCCUCUGCAUCUGGGACUUCUUGCUUGUCCUUCAAGAUCCACUGCAAAAAUGUCUUGUCUCCACAAAGGCUUCCUUGACUGCAUCCCCAGCCACCCCACACCCUGCAAGCUUCCAUUGCAUCCAGCACAAGAUCCACUACUGCCAUGUAUUGCACUAAGUGGAAACUGGUCAGGUUGUGGGGUCCCAAUCAGCCUGUGAGCUUCAGAAGGCAGGCAUUGUGUCUCAUGGACCUAGCCCAAAACAGAAGCGUCUAUGGAAAUAGUGCGAUGACCUGAGUAAAAUAUGGGUGGAAUGUGA